rnacentral:lncRNA from 1 species
UCUUCUUAACUUUAGAUUAUCACAUGUAAGCCGAAAAAGAAUAGAUCAUUAACAGAGUUGUGACCGAACGCAUGAAACACAAUCAUAAGUUAUAUGGUCCUUUCGACUCUCUUUGCCACAGCCUUGAUGAGCCGUCUCACAUCUAAAAAGUCUUUCAAAAGGCUUUCACAUCUAUUGUGUAGAUCCUCGUCGUGGCCUCGUUACAACCAUCAAACACCUA